GGCGCACGGGUGAGUAAUAUAUAGUUAACCUGCCCUCGAGAAAGGAAUAACAGUUGGAAACGACUGCUAAUGCCCUAUAUGCCUUUAAGACAAAAGUCUGCAAGGGAAAUGCUUUAGUGCUCGAGGAUGGGACUGUAUGGUAUCAGAUAGUUGGUGAGGUAAUGGCUCACCAAGUCAAUGACGCCUAACUGGUUUGAGAGGAUGAUCAGUCACACUGGAACUGAGACACGGUCCAGACUCCUACGGGAGGCAGCAGUGGGGAAUAUUGCACAAUGGAGGAAACUCUGAUGCAGCAACGCCGCGUGGAGGAUGACACUUUUCGGAGCGUAAACUCCUUUUAUAUAGGAAGAUAAUGACGGUACUAUAUGAAUAAGCACCGGCUAACUCCGUGCCAGCAGCCGCGGUAAUACGGAGGGUGCAAGCGUUACUCGGAAUCACUGGGCGUAAAGAGCGU
rnacentral:rRNA from 1 species